AGAGUUUGAUCAUGGCUCAGAACGAACGCUGGCGGCGCGCCUAACACAUGCAAGUCGAACGCGAAAGUGUAGCAAUACAUGAGUAAAGUGGCGCACGGGUGAGUAACGCGUAGGUGAUCUACCCCUGUGAUCGGGAUAACCAGCCGAAAGGUUGGCUAAUACUGGAUAGAGCGCAUUAGUCAUAAAGACUGAUGCGGGAAAUGAGGGCGUAGACACUGAGUUUUCAAGCCAUCGCGAGAUGGAGAUUGAAGAUUGAGUGUUUACGCUCUUGCACUGGGAUGAGCCUGCGUCUCAUUAGCUAGUUGGUAGGGUAAUGGCCUACCAAGGCAUUGAUGGGUAGCUGGUCUGAGAGGACGAUCAGCCACACUGGAACUGAAACACGGUCCAGACUCCUACGGGAGGCAGCAGUGGGGAAUCUUGCGCAAUGGACGAAAGUCUGACGCAGCGACGCCGCGUGGGUGAAGAAGGCCUUCGGGUUGUAAAGCCCUGUCGAGUGGGAAAAAUGGUCAUUGGAAUAAUACGCCAGUGAAUUGAUGGUACCACUAGAGGAAGCACCGGCUAACUCCGUGCCAGCAGCCGCGGUAAUACGGAGGGUGCAAGCGUUGUUCGGAAUUAUUGGACGUAAAGGGCAGGUAGGUGGUCUUGAAAGUCUACUGUGAAAUCCCCGGGCUUAACUCGGGAAGUGCGGUGGAUACUCCAAGACUAGAGUGCUGGAGGGGUGCGUGGAAUUCCCGGUGUAGCGGUGAAAUGCGUAGAUAUCGGGAGGAACACCAGAGGCGAAGGCGGCGCACUGGACAGCAACUGACACUCAACUGCGAAAGCGUGGGGAGCAAACAGGAUUAGAUACCCUAGUAGUCC
rnacentral:rRNA from 1 species